rnacentral:rRNA from 1 species
AUUGAACGCUGGCGGCAUGCUUUACACAUGCAAGUCGAACAGUAACAGGCCGCAAGGUGCUGACGAGUGGCGAACGGGUGAGUAAUGCAUCGGAACGUGCCCAGUCGUGGGGGAUAACUACUCGAAAGAGUAGCUAAUACCGCAUACGAUCUAUGGAUGAAAGCGGGGGACCGUAAGGCCUCGCGCGAUUGGAGCGGCCGAUGUCAGAUUAGGUAGUUGGUGGGGUAAAGGCUCACCAAGCCAACGAUCUGUAGCUGGUCUGAGAGGACAACCAGCCACACUGGGACUGAGACACGGCCCAGACUCCUACGGGAGGCAGCAGUGGGGAAUUUUGGACAAUGGGCGCAAGCCUGAUCCAGCAAUGCCGCGUGCAGGAAGAAGGCCUUCGGGUUGUAAACUGCUUUUGUACGGAACGAAACGGCUCUGGUUAAUACCCGGGGCUAAUGACGGUACCGUAAGAAUAAGCACCGGCUAACUACGUG